rnacentral:tRNA from 1 species
GGUUGUGGCUCAGUGGUAACGUGCUUUCCUAGCAUGUGUGAGGCCCUGGGUUCCAGUCUCAGCACCA